GAGAGAGAGGAAGAGUGUGAGGUAGAGAAGGAUAGAGAGAGAGAGGAAGAGUGUGAGGUAGAGAAGGAUAGAGAGAGAGAGGAAGAGUGUGAGGUAGAGAAGGAUAGAGAGAGGGAGGAAGAGUGUGAGGUAGAGAAGGAUAGAGAGAGGGAGGAAGAGUGUGAGGUAGAGAGGGAUAGAGAGAGGGAGGAAGAGAAAGGAAAGGAGGAGGAGGGAGAAGAGAUGAAUGAAAAAUUUAGAGAGAGGGAGGGAGAAUGCACAGAAGAGAAGGAUGGCAAGAAUAAGGAAGAGAGAGAUGAUCAGAGAGAGGGAAAAGAGUAUUCUGUCUGUGAGGAGAAACGAGACGAAGAGCAAGACUACAGUGGCGGAGGAGAAGAGGAGGACAGAGAGAGGGAGGAGGAGGAAGAGCAAGAAUAUCAUGGAGAGAAGAGAGAAAGGUGUGAUGAAGUAGAGGGGGAGGAAGAGGAGGAUAGAGACAGGGCAGAAGAGUGUGAGGAAGAAGAGGGUGGAGAGAGGGAGGGAGAUUGUGAGGAAGACCUAGAAGAUGAUAGAGAGAAGAGAAAAAAGUUUGAUGAGGAAGAGGAGUAUAAAGAGAGGGAGGGAGAGGAGGAUGGAAAGAGGGAUGAAGAGUGUGAGGAAGAAGAUGAUGGAGUGUGUGAGGAAGAGAAGGGUGGAGAGAGGGAGGAAGAGUGUGAAGGAGAAGGGAAGGACUUGUCAGGGUGCCCUCAGUGUCAGAGAGAGCC
ensembl:lncRNA